GAUGAACGCUGGCGGCGUGCUUAACACAUGCAAGUCGAACGAAGCAUUUGCGACAGAUUUUUUCGGAAUGAAGUUGCUUAUGACUGAGUGGCGGACGGGUGAGUAACGCGUGGGUAACCUGCCUUGUACUGGGGGAUAGCAGCUGGAAACGGCUGGUAAUACCGCAUAAGCGCACAAUGUUGCAUGACAUGGUGUGAAAAACUCCGGUGGUAUAAGAUGGACCCGCGUCUGAUUAGCUAGUUGGUGAGAUAACAGCCCACCAAGGCGACGAUCAGUAGCCGACCUGAGAGGGUGACCGGUCAUAUUGGGACUGAGACACGGCCCAGACUCCUACGGGAGGCAGCAGUGGGGAAUAUUGCACAAUGGAGGAAACUCUGAUGCAGCGACGCCGCGUGAGUGAAGAAGUAAUUCGUUAUGUAAAGCUCUAUCAGCAGGGAAGAUAGUGACGGUACCUGACUAAGAAGCGCCGGCUAAAUACGUG
rnacentral:rRNA from 1 species